rnacentral:lncRNA from 1 species
ACAUAUGUGAGCUGGGAAGCGAAGUAGAAACAGAUCCAAAAAUGGAAGAGAUUUCAACCAAGGAGGAGAAAAGGCCACUGAGACUUCUGAGGCCUUGAAGAUGGACAAGCUGAAGCCAGUGGCUUCUCUCAGCUUCUCUCAGCUGUUGCAGCACAGACGGAAGCCUAGUGUAUCAUGAAAGGUAAGAGUAAGCCUUUCAAAACAUUUCCUUUCUUUCUGGUCUGCAGGAAAAGAAUUCUUUUCAACCUCCCUGACCACCAUACCUUGUUGUUAAAAGGAACCAGUGUGACUAAUGAGAAAAGUAUUGCAUGUAUAAGGCAAAAGUUUUAAAUGGGAAUCUUAAUGGAGAAGUUUGCAUCAAGCCAUGUGCAAUGUCUACUUAGGGAUAUUUAAAUACCAAGGCUUUGUAAAGCAUGUUGGUGAACUGGGCAAUUGGGUAUCUAUUUCCUGUUUCCAGACAGCCAGAUGUUCUGCCACAGCCUCAUGGUGAAUGAAAAUAUUUCUAAUUAAUGCAGCCCCCUUUGAGAUGGAUUGUUCCAGAACAUGCAAUGAUACACUUUGUUAAUGAGGCGACUUUCAUUAACUUUGUGCUUUGUGCUAGCUGAAACCUUUGAGCUAUCAUUUAUCAUGACACAGCUAGCUAGGGACAAAACCAGAUGGCUUCAUUUCUUCCCGGGGAGGAGACAUCACUGCUAUUUGAGGGCCCUCAAGAAACACUGGAAGGAAUGAAAACGUACCUCUACUUGAAAAAAGGCAAAGCAAAACCAAGAACCUGGCAUGAGAGACGUUCAAAUAGAAAUCGAAUGCCCUUUCCUGGUCUUUCAAUGAAAGACAAAUCAUGAAAACAGAGAUGCUAGAACUGUGUGGCGGAAGCUGUGGGUGUCCACCCAAAGCCCAAUUACAUGGCUCAGACACUCGCCCCUGCCACACGGCAACUCACGGCUCACACGGGCACCCAUUCAGAAGAUUGCCAUUGGCCAGCGGAAGCCGCCUCACCUCAGGUGCCUGAGAGACUGCAUUUCCUCCUCUACAGUGGCUCCCGAGAGCAUUUCUUCAUUCAACAAGAAUACUUGGCUUCAACUCUACUUCCAGGGACACUGAACCAUAAGGGAAACUCAGUGGCUCACCCAGCCUGUCAUUCACCACGAUGCACUUCACACUUAGCUGGCUUGGAGAACUUGGAGAACAGGCCUCUCAGCAGCUGGCAGCUGACCUGGCUACAUCUGCAGUGAUUACAAACUGCAUCCAAGAUCAUCUGACUUGCAGGAAAUCCAAGGACAAAGGCUGGGGCCCCUGACCCUCCCAGCCCCCCACCCCUCAGGCAGAGACCCCUGGAGGGGCUCCAAUCUCCCAAGGUCACCGAGUUUAUUGCCGUACAGCCUGGCCAAGAGCAGAGGUCUUCCCGGCCAGGCACACCCUGCCAAGUCACAAAGACUUUACUGUAUAUAUUCCAGACAGAGUAGGAAGAAAUUCAGGUUUUUCCACCCCAACAAAGUACUGUGGAUUAUUUGCAAGAAGUCUGGAAAAUUCCAGAAGUCUGUUUUCAAAAGACGCCCACUUGGCUGCCCAAGAGUUUGAGAAUAAUCCCUCAUUCAGAUAUGGAAGAAGAUACACUCUGUUGAAAUUGCCAGACUCCACACUGGAUUCCUUGAAAGAGCUGGAGACGGAGCAACUGCAGGCCCCAAAUCCCGCUGCUCGGACACUGUUCCCUAAGCUGCCAAAAGCUGGCCCAGGGUGGGGAGCCCACUCCUCCCGAGUCCCCCGGCCCCACCCAGCACCUGCCUUGCAUUGGCAUCCGGCAGUCCUGGAUCUGCUUUGCAUGACUUUAAUUCUAGUUCUUCUCAACUUCGGCAGCUCCCUUUCCUCCCCCCCAUAGUGUGCCUUGGCCCCUGCACAUAGAUCAAAUUGAAAUUCCAAUUCAUGGACAUAAAUUGUCCAUGUGAUUUGAGUAAGUGAGACAAGACCCAGGGCUGGUUAUUUUUCCUGGAUUCCUAGACAGGGUUAUUUACAUGCUGGAAGGCACUGGUUGCAUGACUGACUGUUGUUCUUGGAUGGACCCAUACGUUGCUUCUGUGUUGAGGGCAAGUGAAACAGGACCACAAGGGAAAACUGGUGCCUGGAUUAAGAGAAUUUGUCGGUGGUACCUAGAAACUAUUUAUAAAGGUAUAGAAGAGAAUUUGUAAAAUAUACAAGUAUAAGAAAAUCUGAAAAAGAAAUCCUGUCUUCCCAAAUAAUGUAGACUAAAAUCGGGUAUAAUACACCAAAUAUUUAAGAAGAUACCUAUGGUAGAUCAUUUUCAACAUACAAUUAUAAAUGUCACUCUAAGAAUUUUAUAAUGUAGAUGUAAUUGUUCUAGUCCUAAAACUUUUUUGUUCUAUGAAACAAUUUUUUAUUUAAAACAUUUUAACUACAGAAAAGUUAAAAGUUAAUAAAACAAACAUCUGUGAAUCCUUAACUGAAAUUUGAUAGCUGUUAACAUUUCUUCAUAUUGUUCCAAGCAUUAUUUUAAAUUAGAGAAAUAUAACUUUCAGAUCAAGAACAUUUUAUGCUAUUUAUGAUCUAACUUUGGACCACCACUUAGAGUCAACCUCUGCCAUGAACUUAAAUAUACACACACACACACAUAUAUACACACAUGUAUAUAUACACACACAUAUCUACAUAUGUUUAUUUACAUAUGUAUAUCUACAUACAUAUGUAUAGAUGUGUAUAUAUACAUACAUAUGUACAUAUGUAUUCCAAAUAACACAGGGUAGUGGAGAGCAAAUAUUUUUCUGUAAAUGGCCCGCUGAGAAACAUUUUCAGCUUUGCAGACCAUAUGGUCUCUGUUGCAACUACUCAGCUCUGCCACUGUGUGUGAAAGCAGCCACAUAUAAUAUGUAAACAAAUGGGAAUGGAUGUGUGCCAAUAAAACUUUAUUUACAAAAACAGGCAGUGGAUGGUACUUUGCCAACUCCCGCUAUGGAACAUCGUUUUGUGUGUGUGUGUGUGUGUAAAUUUAUAUCAACAGAGCUACAGU